GGCCAGACUCCUACGGGAGGCAGCAGUGGGGGAUAUUGCACAAUGGGGGGAACCCUGAUGCAGCGACGCCGCGUGGGUGAAGGAGUGCUUCGGCAUGUAAAGCCCUAUCGGCAGGGAAGAAGCAAGACGGUACCUGACUAAGAAGCCCCGGCUAACUACGUGCCAGCAGCCGCGGUAAUACGUAGGGGGCAAGCGUUAUCCGGAUUUACUGGGUGUAAAGGGAGCGCAGACGGCAGUGCAAGUCUGGAGUGAAAGCCCGGGGCCCAACCCCGGAACUGCUCUGGAAACUGUGCGGCUAGAGUACUGGAGGGGCAGGCGGAAUUCCUAGUGUAGCGGUGAAAUGCGUAGAUAUUAGGAGGAACACCAGUGGCGAAGGCGGCCUGCUGGACAGUAACUGACGUUGAGGCUCGAAAGCGUGGGGAGCAAACAGGAUUAGAUACCCGUGUA
rnacentral:rRNA from 1 species